rnacentral:rRNA from 1 species
UGGAGGAAAGUAGGGGAUCGCAAGACCUUGCGCUAAAGGAGCGGCCGAUGUCUGAUUAGCUAGUUGGUGGGGUAAAAGCCUACCAAGGCGACGAUCAGUAGUUGGUCUGAGAGGACGACCAACCACACUGGGACUGAGACACGGCCCAGACUCCUACGGGAGGCAGCAGUGGGGAAUUUUGGACAAUGGGCGCAAGCCUGAUCCAGCCAUGCCGCGUGAGUGAAGAAGGCCUUCGGGUUGUAAAGCUCUUUCAGUUGGGAAGAAACGAUUACAACUAAUAAUUGUAAUUAAUGACGGUACCGACAGAAGAAGCACCGGCUAACUACGUGCCAGCAGCCGCGGUAAUACGUAGGGUGCGAGCGUUAAUCGGAAUUACUGGGCGUAAAGGGUGCGCAGGCGGUUUUGUAAGUCAGAUGUGAAAUCCCCGGGCUUAACCUGGGAAUGGCGUUUGAA